GUCAUUGCUAUUAUUGUGGCAAUUUAAAAGUGGGAAAUCGGCUGAUAUCCAAAUAUUUGCAUAUUCGAUAUAGGUUUUAUUUACACAUACGUGUGCAUAGGGGAUCCCUACAACAUGCAUUGACUCCGAAUGAGCAUAUCUUUUUGGAGGCGCAAAAAUAUGAGAACACAAUAGCUCGAGCUGUAACAAGGAUCCAUGCGACUGUCAUUCCAAAACGUUGGCAUUUAUGCUACAUACGCUGGGAGACAGGAAGCAACUACAGGGUCCGGAUUUAAUAAUAAAUAUGUACAUGAAAUUAAACAAGAACAACGUCUGGACAAGAGAAACAAAAUAACAUCAACGCAGACACGGGAAUGGAAGUGACAGAUCUAGGGGAGGCAAUCAACGACGUGAUGGAGUCCGAGGGAGCAGACGUGACCACAGGUGGCUAUCGUUCAGCCUGAGACGGAGGUGAUGGACGCCUGGGCCAUAAUAGGCUUCAUCAUUCAUUUUUGUUUGUAACGCCAGCAAGCACACUGUUGGAAUUGUUAAUUUAAAUGUGUAAAAAGGCCCAACCUUUCUGAUCUUAAAUAGGAUAAUCGAGCUAAUUAGACGGGUAUGUCAGUCUGUUAGCACUUCAUUAAACGCCAAACCAGAUGUCCAUUGUGUUUAAGUAUCCAUCUCAAUAAAGUCGGUCAUUAAGCAAAUCACCUGUUGAUGGUCAGAGUUUGGCACCACUAAGCACUCACAGCAGCCCUACUUCCUGUGGCUAUGAGUAGCAACACAAAAAGUAGCAGUAAAGGCAACAACCACAAUGACCCUCUCUGCUACAGAUGAGGGAUCUUCUUUUGAGUCAGAUUAUCAGGAAGAGGAUCCUGGCCUUGCCCCCCUGUCCUCACUUUCAUCGGAAGAUGGAUGGCUCCCUGAGUUUGAUCCCAGUGAGGAUCCUGACCUUGACCCUCAGGCCCCAUCUGGAUCAGACCCAGGUAGGGAUGGAGAAGAUUUCCAAUGUGGGCUUGCGGCCAAUGAGGGGCCCCUCAUCUGUUCCCAUUGUGGAAAAUGUUUCAAGAAGAAAUGGUUGACAAGACAUCUUCAGUCCCAUACAAAACCCUACAGCUGCUCAGUGUGGGAAAUGUUUUUAUCUGGCCAAACAGCUUGAGGAAUGUUCUAUUAAAGACCUAGAGAAAGCCUUCAGUUGUACCGAUUGUGAUGCAGUGUUUUGCCAUGAAUGUACUUUGCAGUCACACACGGAGGGUCACAAAAGAGGAGUCGGUCACAUGCACAGUUUAUGAAAGAAAGUUUGUAGAGGAAAAAGACUUGAGGCACAAGUGCAUUGUAUGGAAGACAUUUAGCUGUUCUUUUUGCCCAAAGAUCUUAAAAGUCCAGAGAAGUAUUGGCUUAUCACGAGGAAACACAUUCAGAGGAGAGGAACUAUUGCUGUGGAACCUGUGGCAAGAUGAUCUUUACCGCUGUGUCUUUAAAAAAAACAUGACUCAUAAAGAAAAAAAGGACAUUUCAGCGAUGCACCUGCUCUCAGAAAGCAUAUGGUGGUCACACACCCUGGAGAAACGAAAGAAAAAAGUUUGGUCUGCGAUGUGUUUGGAAAAUGUUUUGUCAAAAGGAACCAUCUGAAUAAACAUAUGAGGACACACAAGGAAGAGAAACCUUUUUCUUGUGACAUUUGUGGCAAAAAGUUUCAUUCUUCAGGUAGUGUCAAAAGACACAAGAUAACUCACACAGGUCACCCAAUCCGGAAUACUAAAGAAACAUAAAAUAAACAAGCAUACAGGUGGUGAAGAAAAUACUUCUUUCAAGUGUGAGAUUUGUGAGGAAGUUUGUUCAAGUUGUUAUAGCCCCCCACAAUUAUAUGGUCACUCACACAGGGAAGAAAUCAUGUCAUUAUAGCAUCUGUGGGAAAGGUUUCUUUAGCAAUCAUCUUAAAGUUCACAUGCACAUUCACACAGGGGAGAAAUCAUUUGAGUGUGGUCAAUGUGGGAAGAUGUUCAGCCAUCGAUGUCAUCUAACAUAUCACGAGCGUGUGCACAUUGGUGUCAAAGCAUUCACGUGCAACAUCUGGGGGAAGGCCUAUGCAAAUAGACAAAAUCAGUGCUGCUAAAUGGAAGUAAUUUAGAACCACCCUGUCAAUGUACAAUGCAUUUUUUUAUGGACCCAUUUCAUGUUGAUCCUGGUUGGUUCCUGGAUGGGAGACCAGAUGCUGCUGGAAAUGGUGUAAGAGGGCCAGUAGGAGGCACUCUUUCCUCUGCUCUAAAAAAUAAUAAUAUCCCAAUGCCCAAGGGUAGUGAUUUCGGACAUUUCCCUUUGUAGGGUGCAGUCUUUCGGAUGGGACAUUAAACGGGUGUCCUGACUCCUGACUCUGUUGUCACUAAAUAUCCAAUGGCACGUAUUGUAAGAGUAGGGGUGUUAACCCUGGUGUCCAGGCUAAAUUCCCAAUCUGGCCCUCAUACCAUCAUGGCCACCUAAUCAUCCCCAGCUUCCUUUUGGCUCAUUCAUCCCCUUCCUCUCCCCUGUAACUAUUCCCCAGGUCGUUGCUGUAAAUGAGAAUGUUCUCAGUCAACUUACCUGGUAAAAAAAAAUCCAAAUAUAAACAUGUUCCCCCACAUGAAGGGGAAAAAUAGGGAUGAGAAAAUGAUCUGCUUUGAAUGUUAUGGCUGUACUCAGAGUGAGCCACUGCACUGUCUAUCACAAUGUCAUUGUGUUACUGUGUCACUGUGAAUGUAUUGAUCCUGCAAAUUCUAAUCUGAGACAUUAAUGUCGUUGGAGUCUGUUAUUGAUUUUCUACUCAUUCUCAAUCUAUAUAUCAGCUCAAUUUCCAAUGUCAUCCGGAUACUUUAUUUUUUUUCACUGAGGUUAUGAAUUUCAUUUCUGAAGCGAAUGUCUGAGCAAAUUACUUUUUUUUCUCUCAAAUUAUUUGCCUUGAUAUCUAAAUGAUAUCAAUGUUUCCCUGUUCUUGUGUUUUUGUUGACACUCAAAUAGCAGAGAAAUCAAAUGAGAGAAUUUGUCAUUUUACCCCAGCAUUAUUGCUUCGGCUUUAAUUGCUAAU
rnacentral:lncRNA from 1 species